CACAGAAGAUGUUCUGCUCUUCACUGACAUGUCUCUUCCUGGACAUGCUAGCCCUUAUGGAAUUCACCAACAUAUUGCAUAGAGAAAGCCAUUCCAUCAAUAUGGAAGAAAUACAAUAAAGCCAAGAAAGAAGAUGGAUGAUCUGUCAAGCAAUGAGAGACUUUUCUCCUCUGGGACAGUGUACCACUUCCACAGUACUCUCCAUCCCUCCCUGAUCAGGAUGCUGGUGUCUGGGGAACAUCUAAUGGGGACUGCGAGCUGACCAAGACAAAACAUCUGAUCAUAUCAGAAAAACAAUAUCUCUUGUAUUUUCUGCAGUGGGAAGGUAUGGCUCUUUCAAACCACUUUGAUGCUGCAUUGAGGUCUCCUUAGUCUUGUGCUGGGCACAC
rnacentral:lncRNA from 1 species